GAGUGGUUAAAAGAUAGAACAGUCUAGUCAAGUGCCAUGUCUCUUAUUCUUGAUCAGCUAUAGCUCUAGAGUUUUUGCAGAUUUUCAAAUAAAACUCAGAGAUUCCUUGUAUGAUUCUCUCAGGUCUCUCUUUUGUGGUAUUUUUGGAUCCUUACCAAGGCAGUGAUGGUAUAUGCCUUCUCUCAAGAUAUGUAGUAUUUGUGGUAUGAGGCAUAGUGACAUUGCCUUCUCUCUCACCCUACUCUAAUAAGGCUUUAAUAUCUGGAGCUCAUAGGUGGGAGAUAAAGUAUACAUACUUACAAGACAUUUAUUGCAUAGUCAAACCAUGGAUCCAAAGAAACAAAUCAAUAAGCCAAAUCAAGAUGUGCAUGUGUGGCGAAUGAAUGGUGUAUGGUGAUGAUGGUGAUAACAAUGGUGAAAACAAUGGUGGUGGAAGUCUAAUUCUACUUUGCUCUUUGAGGGGAUACAUACCUUUCUUGCUUUUGAAAUUUUAUGAGGAGAAUGAGAUGCUCUUCUUUUUCUUGUCUCUCAGGUGGGCAUAUUGUACCCCUAAUUCUACUGUCGGACAUUUGUCCAUUUUUACCUCUCGUCUCACUUUUUCUUUUCUUUCGAGGUUCCGAGCACUUGCUCCUUUUUAUUUCCUCGUAUUUAUAUAUAUAUAUAUAUUUUAGAGCACUCAUCUCUUGAGAUAAUAUAGCAAGUGGUAGUAACAAGAUAACUUGAGCAUUUAUUUCACAAGGGGAAAAUAGAAAUAUUUUUGGUUAUUCUCUCCCGGAUUUGGAGUAGAAUAUUUUUAGGUGGUUCUGGAGAUGGAAAUGAAUGGAUAUAUGUGGAUGGUACUUCCGGAGUAGAAGUAGCAUAUAUGAGUGAACGUGCAAGUGAAAUCUUGAUUUAACCACAUGACAAGCUCCUAAGGGUCUACACAGCUUGACCACACUCAAUGCUCAUAAGCAGUAAAUAUUAAAUGUGUGGCUCAAAGUCUAGCAAGCAAUGAAUUAGGGUUGAGAGGCUCUCUCCUCCAGGGGCCAGGGGGUCUGGUUUUAUAGUCCCUCCAAGUGAAUAUGGGCCCUUGGAUCAAACCGACAUAGAUUGUAUGGUUUAGAUUCAUCCUUUAGGUCAGUGGAGAUCUCCCGCAAAGCAGAGUCCUGAUUGGACUCAGGAGGUGGGCGGGCGCCCUGACCAACUGGGCGGCCGCCCAGGGUCAGGCCCCGUUUCGCCUCCGCUUCGGUCUCGUGGCUUCUGGAGUCUUCUAGAUGUAAGAUAAUUGCGCAGCAUGUUAAUAUCUUUACGUAAUCCCGACAUGUGGGCCUUUCUUCCAUAUUUCCUGAUAACCCCCUGCAGAAAUAGACAAACACCAAAACUCGUGGAAUUCUGUCAGAUAAAACCCUAAGUCUAGAUCUUGAUUUCAUUUGGAUCCUUUUCUUUAUUUAUUUGAUAAUUAAAUUUGAUACUUAAGGACCGUCAACAAGGAGUUGUUGGAGAAGGGUUUUAUUCAACCUAGUUCAUCUCCAUGGGGUUGCCCGGCCUUAUUUGUGAAAAAGAAAGAUUAGACAUUAAGGCUAUGUGUUGAUUAUCACCCCUUAAAUGAAGUGACGAUUAAAAACAAGUACCCAUUACCCCGCAUUGACCUGCAAUUUGAUCAGCUAGCCGGGGCUAAAGUAUUUUCAAAUAUUGAUUUAAGAUCUAGGUACCAUCAAAUCAAGAUUAAGCUAGAAGAUGUGCCCAAGAUGGCUUUCACAACCCGCUAUGGGCUGUAUGAGUAUCUGGUGAUGUCCUUUGGUUUAACCAAUGCACCAGCUCACUUCAUGUACUUGAUGAACUCCGUCUUCAUGCCAGAACUAGACAAAUUUGUAGUCAUAUUCAUUGAUGACAUCUUGAUCUAUUCUAAAACAAAGAAAGAACACCCUGAACAUUUGAGGAUUGUGUUGACCCGUUUGAGAGACCAUCAACUAUAUGCCAAGUUCAGCAAGUGUGAGUUCUGGCUGGAUAAAGUUCAUUUUCUGGGUCAUGUAUUAUUAGUGGAGGGAGUCGCUGUAGACCCAGGUAAAGUAGAAGAUGUUUUGAGUUGGAAGCCCCCUACUACGGUGCAUGAGGUCUGUAGCUUUUUGGGUAUGGUGGGAUAUUACCGCCGCUUCAUUCCUGACUUUUCAAGGGUAGCCAAGCCAAUCACAACCUUGCUCAAGAAUCAAACAAAAUUUGUUUGGUCGUCUGAAUGUUAGCAGGCCUUUCAAACCCUAAAAAGGUUGUUGACUACUGCACCUGUGUUAGCCCAGCUGAAUAUUGAGAAGCCCUUUGAUGUGUAUUGUGAAGCAUCAGGAAUAGGGAUAGGCUGUGUGCUGAUGCAGGAGGGUCGAGUAAUUGCAUAUGCAUCUAGGCUGCUUAAGCCCCACAAAGAGAAUUACCCAACCCAUGAUCUUGAGCUAGCCGCCGUAGUACAUGCUUUGAAGAUCUGGCACCACUACCUAUUGGGAAACACUUGUCAUCUAUGUACAGAUCAUAAGAGCUUGAAGUAUAUUUUUACUCAAGCUGAACUUAAUAUGCGCCAACAAAGGUGGCUAGAAUUGAUCAAAGACUACGAUCUUGAGGUGCAUUAUCACCCAGGCAAGGUGAAUGUAGUAGUAGAUGCCCUCAGUCGUAAGGCUCACUGUAAUUGCUUGACAGUGACACCUAGAGAUAUAACUCUGUGCCAGGAGAUUGAGAAUUUAGAAAUAGAGAUGAUUUCACAUGGGAGUCUAGCCAAUUUAAAGGUCGACUCCAAUCUCGAAGCUCAGAUCAUAGCAUCACAAAAAGAAGAUAAAGGCAUGAAAUACCUCAAAGAGAAAAUUGCUAGUAGAGCACCCACAGACUUUAAGGGGAUGAGGCAGGUCUGAUCUGGUUUAAAGAUCGGUUAGUAGCACCAAAGGUACCUGAGUUACAUCAGCAAAUCCUGGAUGAAACCCAUACCACAAGGUAUUCUAUUCACCCAUGAAGCAAUAAGAUGUAUCAGGACCUGAAGCAGAGGUUUUGGUGGACAAAGAUGAAGUUAGAAAUAGCUCGCUAUGUAGCCCAAUGUGACACUUGUCGAAAAGUCAAAGCCAUUCAUCUCAAAUCUGCUGGAGAGUUGCAACCCUUGCCUAUCCCAGCAUGGAAAUGGGACGAUAUUAGCAUGGAUUUCAUAGUGGGACUGCCCAAGAUAGCAAAAGGCUUUGAUUCUAUUUGGGUUAUUAUGGAUUGUCUUUCCAAAACGACACACUUUUUACCUGUGAAGAUAUUAUAUCUUGCUUCCACCUAUGCCAAGAUCUAUUUUGAUCGUAUAUUAAGUCUGCUUGGGGUGCCAAAGUGUAACACCAAAAAUUUUUGAUAUCAAUUAAUAGGAAUUAAUUUGAUUUAUUUAAGUAUUUUUGUGAGCAUUUGAAUCUAGCAAAUAAAUAAUUUUGUGAGAAUUAAAAUUCAACAUAAGAUUAGAAAUGUGACUUUGCAUUCAUGCUGGAGCAUAGUUAUUUUUGUGUUGCUUGUACUGUUUUUAUUUUAAUUGUUUUUGCUUCAAACCUCCUUUGGAAAAAGAAUUGAAAAAGAAUAUAAAAAGAAAAGGAGGAAGAACCCCAGCCACCCCAGUCCCUUUUCCUCUCUACUUGGAUGAAGAAUUGAAACCCUAGCUUUGAUUCUGUAGAAGAGGUAUGAUCUCCAGGGGCCUAGGGGGUCUGGUUUUAUAGUCCCUUCAAGUGAAUCUGGGCCGUCGGAUCAAACCGACAUUGAUCGCACGGUUUUCCUUGAUCCUUUAGGUCGGUGGAGCAUAAUACGCGAAACGGGUCCGAAUUGGACACUGUAGCUGGGCGGGCGCCCAGGAGAGUUGGGCGGGCGCCCUGCCUCCGAGCCCGAUUUCCUUCCCGUUCGUUCCCGUGGCUUCUGGAGUCUUCUAGAUGAUAGAAAAUUGCGCGACACGUUAAUAUCUCUAUGUAAACCCGACGUGUGGGCCUUUCUUCCGUAUUUCCUGAUAACCCCCUGCAGAAAUACACAAACACCAAAACUCGUAGAAUUCUGUCAGAUAAAACCCUAAGUCUAGGUGUUGGUUCCAUUUGGAUCCUUUUCCAUGAUUAGUUGAUGGUUAAAUAUGAGCAUUAAGGACCGUCAACAAGCUCCCCCAAGCUUAACCUUUGCUCGUCCCUGAGCAAAGAUGAACUCAAGAGUUUCUGCAGUGGUUUCAUACCUUAAAGAUACACAUGCGUUCAAACAAGAUCUCAUCUCUGGGUUAGGGUAAACUGUUAAGAUUUAAACUUACUCAUUUUACCUUCCACCAUGGGGCUUGCAACCGUCACCUGUGUCUUGAGCAGUUAAAAGAUAGAACGGUCUAAUCAAGCACCAUGUCUCUUGUUCUUUGAUUAACUAUAACUCUGGAGUUUUUGCAGAUUUUCAAAUAAAACUCAGAGAUUCCUUAUAUGACUCUCUCUAGUCUCUCUUUUGUGGUAUUUCUGGAUCCUUACCAAGGCAGUAAUGGUAUAUGCCUUCUCUCAAAGUAUGUAGUAUUUUUGGUAUGGGGCGUAGUGGCAUUGCCUUCUCUCUCACCCUACUCUAUAAGGUUUUGAUAUCUGGAGCUCAUAGGUGGAAGACAGCUAAUGCAUACUUACAAGACAUUUAUUGCAUAGUCAAACCAUGGAUCCAGAGAAACAAGUCAAUAAGUCAAAUCAAGAUGUGCAUGUGUGGCGAAUGAAUGGUGUAUGGUGAUGAUGGUGAUAAUGGUGAAAGUCUAAUUCUACUUGUGCUCUUUUGAGGGGAUACAUACCUUUCUUGCUCUUUUGAAACUUUUUGAGGAGAAUGAGAUGCUCUAUAUUUUCUUUUUCUUUUCUCUUAGGUGGGUAUCUUGUACCCCUAAUUCUACUGUCGGACACUUGUCCAUUUUUACCUCUCGUCUCACUUUUUCUUUUCUUUCGAGGUUCCGGGCACUUGCCCCUUUUUAUUUCCUCGUAUUCUUUCUCUCUUUUUUUUCUUUUUUUUCUUUUUUUUUAGAGCACUCAUCUCCUGAAAUAAUAUAGCAAGUGGUAGUAACCAAGAUAACUUGAGCAUUUAUUUCACAGGGAAAACAAAAAUAGGAGAAUGUUUUUGGCUAUUCUCUCCCGGAUUAGGAGUAGAAUGUUUUUGGGUGGUUCUGGAGAUGGAAAUGGAUGGAUAUAUGUAGAUGGUACUUCUGGAGUAGAAGUAGCAUGUGUGAGUGAACGUGCAAGUGAAUCUUGAUUUAACCACAUGACAAGCUCCUAAGGGUCUACACAGCUUGACCACACUCAAUGCUCAUAAGCAGUAAAAAGUAAAUGUGUGGUUCAUAGUCUAACAAGCAUGUAUAUAUGGCUGUGGUAGGAAUUUAAACUCUCAUCAUACAGGAACUCAUCAUGCAACAUUUUAAAGAUUUUCAAAGAUAAAAUUCUCCAGAAUUCUAGCAUCUCUAAGAACCGAUAAACAGCAGCUCAACCUUCCCAUAUCAUAUCCGUUAACGACUUAGACUUCAGAUCAAGUACUCUUCCCAUAAGUUCAGGUUUAGAGCAAAUCUUAGUUAAUAAUAGUCAUGCCUAUACUUGAGAGAGAUUUCAAUUUUUAGAACUAGUCAUGGUAGAGCAACUAUUCAUCAUUUCCAUGUGAGAGCUUAUCAUGAGGGUUCAUCGCAAACUUUAUUUAUUUAUUUAUUUAGCAAACUAAGCAAAGAUAUAUAUAUAAGCACAAAAUCUUUAUUUGGGUUUUUAUGAUUAUGCAUCUUUUUAUUAUUUGAGUAAAGUAUAAAGAUGAGUAGAACACUUAGCUGGAUAAAUGGGGGUGCUCUCCCCCAAGCUGGAUUUUGACGUAAUCUCUUCUGAUGUAGCUAAGUGGCGGAGGUGUAUUUGAAUGUCGGCAGCAUCCUGACAGCGAUUAGGAUGUCCUUCAUCUACUAGUCUUCUUUGAUCCUUAAAUUCUGUGGAGCUCAAAUAGACAACAAAGCUUUGUGGAACUAGUUAAGUGUUAGCAUAAAUAUCUAGCCUUUAUCAUGUUGAGCCUCCUCAAUAAAUGUUACUCUCUUUAGUAGGAUCUUAAUUUUAUUUUUAUAAUUUUAUUUUUAUAGGACAUAAAUAUAUUUAUUUUAUUUUUAUGCCACCACAGUAAAUGUACUUAUGGGUUUUAUGCCAUGAGCAUACUCACAUGGGGCUUACUAUUUUUAACAUUUUUAUUUUAUUUUCAAGAUGAUAUGAACCUGAUUAGCUAAGCAAACUAUUUUAAAUAAUUGAAAGAAAAAAAGAUAACUACCAAGUUUACCUCUUGGCAAGGCGUUCGGUGUUUUUAAGUCCUCCGAACGGGACUCUCCAUUUCCUGAGUCAUUCUGGGAUUCGCUGGAUGGCAUAGUCGGUGGUUCCGACGGUGCUUCCUCUUCGUGUAUAACUAUCUUCUUUCUCCACACCUGACUUGGUGCUACGGUCUCCUCAGGACAGUUCUGUUCAAGUUGUAUGUCUUCAGAUCUUACCACUUCUCCUUCGUAGUCUGCCCAUCCGUCCUUGAUGAUUUGCCUCCUCUGGUUGCGGUUGCGUUGUCUUCUUCUUGUCCUGACCUGCUUAGAGUGUUCAACUAUAUAGUUAGGGUCAGUAAAACAGUGGCGUACCUUCUCUGAGGGGAAGUCUAUGUGGACUUCUCUGGUUCCAAUGUAUAUGAUUGCUUUAAUGGUGCUAAAGAACGGUCUUCCAAGGAUGAUGGGUGGAUCGUACUCGUCUUCUCCCAUGUCAAUAACCUUCAAUCUUUCAGAAUGUCUGAUCUGCCAUCUGGAGCUGAAUGUAUGUUGGUUGUAGGGACAUGGUUCCAUGCAGGAGCUGAUAAGUGAUUGCGCCAUUAUGUUGACGUUAGAUCCGAUGUCGUAGAGUGUCUUCUGAAAAGAAUAUCCAUUGAUUGUGCACUCGAUGCUUGGGACACCAGGGUCGUCCUUCUUGAUCAAGAAAGGUGACUUGAGUUGACGAUCUUGACCUCCUUGAGCUGCAGUGACCAUCUUAGCUGACUCGGUACACAUCUGCUUGUUCUUGUUCCUCAUGUUGGUCCUGUUCCUUGGUACAUGUCGGGAUUGCUCUGGGAUUUGUGUAGUCUUGUUCUUGAAGGAAAACAUCUCCUUCUUCCCCUUGAUGUAGAAACUGAUCUUGGCAGCACUAGCGUAGAUGACAGCUCCCGAGGUGUUCAGGAAUGGCUUCCCCUAGGUAUAAUGUUGACGAUGGAGCCAAAGUCGCAGAGUGCUUCUAGGAAGUCCACCAUGCCGAUGGAGAUUGGGAUGACGAGGCAUCCUAGAUUAUCUCUCUUGACCGGCAUAAGGUCAGUAAUUACUUCCACAACGGGGUUACUCCAGUAGUUACAUCCUCAAGCAUCUCAGGGCAGUGUUUGCAUGAGUGUCCAGUAUCUCCAGCGUGUUUGUGCUCAUAUAUCUAGGUUCUUCACUUGGUGGAGUCUGGGAGUUGUAAAACUCCUUCAUAUUUUGCUCGAAGUGUACCUGCUCAUAGAGACAAGGCAGAGAUCAAGUGCAUGGGCCCUGUUGGUGGAAAACACCAACAGAACCAAAAGUGUAUUUGCUCUUCUCUAUCCUUAAGCAUAGUGAGCAAGACACAGUUGAUGGAUAAUA
rnacentral:lncRNA from 1 species